UGCAGUAGUAGCUCAGCCUUAGAGCUCCGGUCUUGUAAGCCGAACGUCGAAGGUUAAAAUCCCUCCUUUUGC
rnacentral:tRNA from 1 species